UACGUAGGGGGCUAGCGUUGUUCGGAAUUACUGGGCGUAAAGGGCGCGUAGGCGGCCUUCUAAGUCGAACGUGAAAUCCCCGGGCUCAACCCGGGAACUGCGUCCGAUACUGGAAGGCUUGAAUCCGGGAGAGGGAUGUGGAAUUCCAGGUGUAGCGGUGAAAUGCGUAGAUAUCUAGAGGAACACCGGUGGCGAAGGCGACAUCCUGGACCGGUAUUGACGCUGAGGCGCGAAAGCCAGGGGAGCAAACGGG
rnacentral:rRNA from 1 species